rnacentral:lncRNA from 1 species
AUCGCUAGCGUCCAAUGCCAACAUCCAGAGAAAAACUAAAAAAGCAUGUUAUCUGGACAUUUAGCACCACAUUUAAGUCCUUGUGCGAUGUUGAUCAAAUUCUUUAUUCUCCCUCCACUUGUUUCUCUUUGUAGUGUGCUUUGGCAGAGGGGAGCAUUAGAAGGAAAAGUAUACAUGGAAUAUUAUUCAGCCAUAAAAAAGAAAAAAUCCCACCUUUUGCACAACACGGUUGGACCUUGAGGGCAUUAUGCUAAGUGAAAUAAGUCAGAGGAAGACAAAACUAGAUCUCAAAAAGGACCAGUGAUGACCUGAAUUCUAGCAAUAUGGUAGACUAAACAUCUAGAGAUACCCUCUCAGCUUAGAACACCUGUGGACUGAACACCAGUGAAAACAGCAUAAGUCAAAUUUGGAAAAUGCUAGGAAAGCAGGAUUUGUGGGAAAUUUAAAUUAACACUUAAAAUUAAAAAGAAAAGAAAAAUUGAAAACUAAUGUUAAAUGUCUAACUUAAGAAGUUAGAGAAAGAAUAUAGACACACAAUAGAAGAAGGAAAAAAGAGCUGAAACCAAUGAAAUAGGAAGCAAACAUACAAUAGAAGGGAUCAACAAACCAAAAAGUUAGUUACUCGUAAAGUCCAAUAAAAUUGGCAAACCGUUUUCAAAACUGAUUAUAGAGAAAGACAGGGACAGAAAGUGAAGGCCCCAAAACACAAUAUUAGGAAUAAAAGAGAAACAGGACCACAGAUGCGUCAAAGAUUAAAUAGAUAUUAUGACAACUUUAUACCAAUAAAUUGGCCUAAUUAUUAGAAAUUGUACUAGAAAAAGAGAAAUUAUUUUUUUAAAAGUCAAUUUAAAAAGAUCUUCUUGUAUUCAGCCAGCGCACAUUGCUGUAAUACAAUACAGGUCAUACAGGUUGGUAAAUAUUGAAACAUCUACACACUUACUUUUAAAAGUCUCUACCUUGAUUCCCAAGUACCACCUGGACCACAUUUGUCCCUCUCUCAGGACCCCAUAAACCUCUCUAUAAUCCAUCAACUGAAGGUUAUUUCUGGAUACAGUAGAGCUCCAGAUCCUAUUUCAGGUCUAUUAGUUGACAUUUAUCUUGACUAGUUCAGUGCUUAAUCCAAAUCACUAGUAAAAC